UAUUCUCCUUAUUCUGGAACGUCACAGUGGUCACAGCGAGUUCAUUGCAAUUGUGUUUCUAUUUCCGGCAACAUUCGCGUGACGCUAGCACAUGCAAAAGUGAAACUUUCCGUUGAGGACUCGAUAGUUUUACACUGACAGAACCGCACAAAAUCUUAAAAUCUAUCACCAUAAUAGACGUUAUAUAUUCAUUACGAGGCUGUCACAAUAAGUGGAUGAAGAGGAGGCAGUUUUUACAACAGCAAUGUUUUGAACACCAACAUCCACGUCGAUCUGAAUGUACCUGAGGAGCCCCAUACAACCUGAAAAAAAAACCCAGAAAAAUGGCUUGGCUACGAUGCUCCACUCGUGAAGAAGCGUCGGGUGUUGCUCAGGCAGUAAUCAGUGACAGCACAAUCCUUAAGGCUGGGAAGAGGAAGAAAGAGAGGGACGAUGGAGAGAUGGGACGGAGGUCUGUCUGUAGGGUUUUCCCUGAGCGCCAGGUUCUCAUGGGAAGGGGAUAUGAGGAGUGUGACACUAAUGAAGAAUGGUGCCAGAGGGAAUGACGGACAUUUUAUGGGCUCCUGACCAAUUGUGCUAGUUUGUAUAUUUUUUUUGUGCUGAUCUUAACUUUUUAAGAUUUUCUGCUCGCCUGAGUUAGAAUACCUCAUGAGCUGUAGAUCAUACCAUGUGCAAAGUGUUUUCAUCUGUAUCUUUCGUAGUUGUUUAUUUACCACAGCUAACGGAGGCUGGCACUAAGACCACUCUCAAUGGGCUGUAUAUGGCCAUUAGCAAACAAAAAAAAAUGCUGAUCCAGAAGCGGCGCUCGUAGUGGCCAGUGAUUUUAAAGCAUGAAAAAUGAAAUCCAUUUGUGAUUAAAAUGUUCUCUUUCUGUAUCAGAUCGAAUGUUUAGAAUAAUGCUGCUCUGUAAUUAUAUCUCUUGGUUUGGUAACAUGCAAGUAAAUUAUUGAUUGUACAUGGGAGAAAACCUUAAUAUUGCUGAUAUAUAGCUAAUAUAAUAUUGCAAUUUGGCAGUAUGCCCAGAACAUUGCUCUGGCAACCAAAAAGAGUAUCUCAGUUUCAAGGUCUCAGCUUUGAGAGAAAAAGCCUUGUGAUGUGUCAGUCAGUCACAUGCAGGAACCAACGUUAAUAAUAAAUAAUGUAAAUCAUACUUAAAUGACUUGUUUGUGUGGCAGGAUAUAAGGACUGAAAGAGAACGCACUUGUAAGAGUUUUCAUCAAGCUUGAAUUGAGUUUGUGAAACUCUCUGGCUGUGAUAAUAAAGAUUGAUUAUUUUAAAUUGA